CCUACGGGAGGCAGCAGUGGGGAAUAUCGGACAAUGGGGGCAACCCUGAUCCAGCCAUGCCGCGUGUGUGAAGAAGGCCCUCGGGUUGUAAAGCACUUUCAGUGAGGAAGAACGCCUGGUGGUUAAUACCCAUCGGGAAAGACAUCACUCACAGAAGAGGCACCGGCUAACUCCGUGCCAGCAGCCGCGGUAAUACGGAGGGUGCGAGCGUUAAUCGGAAUUACUGGGCGUAAAGCGCGCGUAGGUGGCUUGAUAAGCCGGUUGUGAAAGCCCCGGGCUCAACCUGGGAACGGCAUCCGGAACUGUCAAGCUAGAGUGCAGGAGAGGAAGGUAGAAUUCCCGGUGUAGCGGUGAAAUGCGUAGAGAUCGGGAGGAAUACCAGUGGCGAAGGCGGCCUUCUGGACUGACACUGACACUGAGGUGCGAAAGCGUGGGUAGCAAACAGGAUUAGAUACCCCUGUAGUC
rnacentral:rRNA from 1 species